CCUUCGUACAAACCAAGAUCUAUUGCCUUUUUCAAAACAUCAGGACAGUUAUUAUGCCAUUACCAGCAGGAAAGAGAUAUACAUGUCAUUCAAACAAGAUGGGGAAACUGAGGCAUGAAGAGGUCACCCAGUAUAACAGUGGUAGUGCCAAAAAUAGAACCCAGGUCUCCUGAGCACCCAAUCCACGAGGUUUACAGUCCUGGCUCUCACAGAGGAGAUAGCAUCCUUCCUGAACACACAGCCCUCGACCUCCAAUUAAUGGGCGUUACUAAAUGAGAUUACUACAUUCCAGAUUUUAGGGGUGGCUUUCCAGGCUGUGAAUUAUGGAUUUUUGGCAAGAAUAAAUAUGCACUGUUAAUA